rnacentral:tRNA from 1 species
GCCCGGUUAGCUCAGUGGUAGAGCACUUCCAUGGUAAGGAAGGGGUCGUGGGUUCGAGUCCCACACCGGGCU